GCCCAGGUAGCUCAGUUGGUAGAGCAGCGGACUGAAAAUCCGCGUGUCGGUGGUUCGAUUCCGCCCCUGGCCACCA
rnacentral:tRNA from 1 species